GUUACUUCAAGAACAGAUUGUUAUAAAGUGAGUCAGGCAUGUCUGUUACCAUGACGCACGAAUGCUCCUCUUAGUGUGACUACACUCCCUUCUAUCUUUCCACCAUGGGGUGAGUAAGCGUGGAUUUUCCAGGUUCCAAGCUAUUGUAACUGGGUUGUUCUAGCCCAAGAGAAGGGAACCAGCAUGAGCUUUUUAUGGAUUUGAAGGUUCUCUUGAGCAGCACAGACUUGGCCUGGACGGUGCAUUCUUGUGACUACUGACUAUUGACUCUUGUGAGCUGAGUGAGUAGGGGGGUUAUAAGGUAAAGAUCACAUGUUUGGUACCUCUUGUUGACAUCUCUGUGGUGACUGUUAGCAAGCUUGAUCGAUAAGAAUAGGGCACAGUUGUGUCACCAUGGUGUUUCUGUUUGAUCUGUUUGAUCCGGGUUACAGAAGCAGAACAAUGCAGGUUAGCAAAAGUUCCUUAAAGUACCAUACAUGCCUGAAGGUCAAACUGACCUUAGUUUUAGCCCGAAGUCAGGUCAGGGUUUAGCAAAUAUACUUUUCUCACCUCAAAACCAUGAGUCGCACCCUCUUCUGCCUUCCGGAAAACCUAUUUUUCCCAGGCUUGGGUAUUUUAUUUUAGCAACUGAAAAGACUAAGACAUCACCAAGCUCCAGAAUUGUUGUGCUUCAGUUUUGACGGCCAGCACCUGUACAUCAUUUGCCCUUGGGUAAGUAAAACCAGUUUGCUUCCACAUGUGGAAUUCCGUCCUAAGCAAGGGAUAUGGACACCUGCAUUAAAGCCUUUGUUUUGAUACAGGACAAACUCAUAGGAGACGUAGUUUUCACUCAGAAUUUCUCAGCAGACAUGAGCUAUAGUCUGGCUUGGGAAUCUUCCCUUUCCAGCUAUGCUGUUGCAGCUCUGUCAUUAGUUCCCUGGGAGAGCUACCUACAAACAUCACUUGUUCACACAGUCUGGUCUCAGGACCUGCUUCUGAGGAGACUGGCCCGAGAAAACCGCUGCCAUAGCCUUGGACCUGUAAGGAGGAAGAGAAAAAUGGCUCUGGAUGUUACCAGAAGGGGCUGAGAGGGCAAGCCUUCUAAAGUGCCCCUUAAUAAGGCAUAGAUUCUUAAACUGUAAGAAGUGUGACUAAGUUUGGGAUUUUCAAUAAUUUAACAGCAGGAAAAUAUGUCUGAAUGCACAACAAGCAAAAAUGAAUUUAAAUUGAAUUACGUAACAAAGUUGAAGCGUUUCUGGCAAUGGUCACUCAUGUUGCUUCCCAUGAAUUCCCUGCAGCCUUGGUUCUGAACACACACGUUUGAUUUGCUCUCUGCAUGCCCUCACACCACUCAAAACCAAUAGACUCUUCCUGGAACACCUCAGGUCAGAGAUGAGACACUGUGUACUAUAAACCACAAUGCUUUUAGCAUACCUACAAUGUUUUCUACUCUUAUGAAAACAUCAUGCUUUAAUUACAGAAAACAAACACUAAGUGUUUUCCUUCUGCCAUUCCUCAGCAGGCAGUAUAUCUGUGCAAUGUAUUGUUUUAGAAUUCUUUCCUUCCUAUUGAGACAGGGUAUCAUGAAUCCUAGGAUGGCCUCAAACUUGUUAUAUUGCCAAUGAUGAACUUGAAUUUCUAAUUCUCCUGCAUCCAUACCCCAAGUGCUGGAAUUUCAGGUGCAUAUCACCAUGCUUGCUUUAUAUAUUACUGGGGACUCAAUCCAGGGCUUCAUGGAUGCUGGGCAAGCAUUCUACCAACUGAGAUAUGUUCUCAGUCUCAUAAUACUUGAUUUUUAAAAUGGCUAUUUGAAUUGUAUAGUUUUAUAACAAUAAAAAGAGAAACUAGAAAGAUGGAUCAGUAGAUAAAAGCACUUACUGCUCUUGCAGAGGACCUGGGUUAAGUUCCUUGUGCCUCCAUGCUAGCUUAGAACUGCCUGUAACUCCAGGAGAUCCAAGGACAUCUCCUGACCUUCACAGGCUCCUGCACACAUGUAGUUCACGUAUAUACUCAGGUACACACACAUUAAAUAAAUAAAUAAAUAAAUAAAAUGAAAUUUUGCUUGGUGUUAGCAAAGAAUUUCGAUUGAUUUCUGAAAUGGUCCUAAACACACUCCUGUAAUUUUGUACUAUGUGUUUAUGCAAAGUAACAGUCUCAGCAUUAAUGAGUAUAAAAAUCAAAAUAUUGGCCAACUCUGAAAAAUAUUGAAUAUGUUCUCCAGCCUGCAAUAUCAAAUAUUCACCCAAGAUUUAGUCUCAUUAGAAAAUGUACUUUCAUCUUUAACAAGUGGUAUAACUGUAUGCAUACCUAAUAUUUUUUAAAAAUAAAAUUCUUAAUGAUUUACUACCAGUGAAUGUUUGAAUUUGUAGACCUAUUCUCUGUACCUAUGUACCCAGGAUGGUUAUCAAAAUGUAUUGGGCAAAAAGGGGUUGUGAAAAAAAGAGUUUAAGACACCCUAGUCUAGAGAAUGUAUGUGUACUUACUAUGAGUUCUUUUGUUUUCUGGUCAAGAUGUACAAAUGGGGCGCUGAGCAGAAAUGCUUUGGACAGCCAUGGGGCCUCAAGCUUUGGUGCAGGAGGAGUGAGGAGCGCAUGCUGUUGUUUCAGCCCUUCCUCUGAGUAGAUACUGAAUACAGUUCAGUUUAAUGAGAAUGGCAGCUUCUCAGGGUCAUAUUUCCAGGUCCACCUGCCUUCUAGCAAGAGUGAACAGAGUUAUCUGGGUCCUCCUGUAGAGCUUAGGAAAGACAAACAACCAAAAUGGACUUGGGGUGUCUGAAAGCCUCUCAGAUGUCUUUGAUGGUGGAGAUAGUACAGUGUCAGGGCAUUGUUGCUCCCUCUCCUGGUGGUAUGAUUGGCGAGUUGUACCUUGGGUACAAAUGUGGACAACCAUCUUUCCUCCGUGGAGUUAAGGAGCUUAGGAACCUUCAACUCAGGAGUCAGUCCCUUCUACCCUAGCCAUUCAUCAACCCUGUGUUUGAAGUCUAUCUUGUGUGUCAUGAGCAAAUAACAGGAUAUACUAUAUCCAGUUAGGAGCCUAACCAACAUUUGAAGCAUGUGGCAGAGGUAAUCUGUGGCAGUGGGUAAUUACCAAAUGUAUGACUCACCCGUCUGUAUAGAAGCCAGUUCUCAAAAGUAAAUGAGUGUGUUUGCAUAUGUGUGUAAUCUGAUUUGACCAGUUAGGACAAGCUCUGAGGCUCCUGUCAAAUGGCAGGAACAAGGUCUGACCUGCCCCUUCAUGGCCCUUUCAUACAGGCAGCAGUUAGGAAUUCAGAAGACAAGAUUCAGACGACCGCCUUCAACAUCAAGGAGGCUUAUGAAGGCAUGGUGGGGGUAGGAGAAGGAGAGCCACUCCUCCUGAACAGUGAGGUGCUCCCCAGAGUUUGAUUCUCUGAGCAUCAAAACCCACUGGAAAAACAAGACUGGGUCAGAGGAAUGGAAAGAAGUUGACAGUGUGAGCAUCUUCCUGCUUUGGAAACUGAAUUGAAAUUUUGAUUCUUCUUGGAUGUGGAGCCUGCUGAUCUUUGGACUAGAACUUCCACCAUCUGCUCUCCUGGGCCUCCAGCUCGCUGACUCACCCUGAGAAUCUUGGGACUUGUCUGCCUUCAUAAUAACACGAUCCCAUUCCUUGUAACAAAUCUCUUUAUAUAUAGACACAUCCUGUUGCUUCUGUUUGUUUCGAGAAGCCUGACUAAUACACCACCCUUAUAAGUGGAAUAAAAUAUCUAUCAGAUUAGUUCUCCAUGGUUCAUUCUAUGAUUAUUUGAAGUUUCAUGAAACUGUGAAUGCUGGUCCCGUGGCAGUCAUCAUCAUCCAUCAUCAUCAUCAUCAUCAUUGUUAUCGUCAACAAGGACUUCUGAGUUGCUCAGCUCUGAGAUCAACUUUUGGCCUUAGUCUUACCCACCAGGCACAGUGGCCCAUCCUCUUCUAGAACCCUCACCUGUCUACAUUCUAGUCACUUCUCACUGGCCCUCCUCUCAGCCUCCAUGGUCCCUCAGUUACUUUCUUCUCCUUACUUGGACCUCUGAAUACUGUAGCAUCCUCCAUUCUAUCCCUGGAAUCAUUGUUUAUCCAUCUAUAAAUGUUUGAAGAUGUGGCCUCCCAGUUCCUGAGAAGGUGAUGGGUCUGUAAGUAUUUGAGAACUGCUCUGGGCACUGGCAUCUGCUGAACAGGUCUGAUUAGGGCUAGAGGCCCACUGUGCAGAUGCUGACUUGCAAAGUCGGGAGAAACAAUGCUCACUGGGAACUAUGCAGCUAGGGUGGCCCGUGGGAACCAAUGCACUUGGAGAGAAGGCCCUAGGACACUGGGUGUGGCCUCCCAGAGGAAGAAGUAUGACCUCAGGCCAGGCCACUGUCUUUGGCAGAGGGUAAGCCUGAAAGACUCAGUUGAGUGCCAUCUGCACAAUACUCCUGUGGCUGGGAAAACGAAUCCCCUGUCCUCAAGGGGAUUAGGCUGACACAGGAAACCACUUCCUGCUGUCAGACAUAAGCCUGGCUCCAAAUCACUAGAUGCUUGAGAGAGGCUUGAGAGGCUUCGGGAGUUAAUUCAUUUUAUCAUAAAGAUUAUGGGAGAUGGAAAUCCCAGGAAAGCACAGAAGGCAAUUCCAGAAGGACCAUGUUUAUAUCCUUCCCCCACAAACAAAGUGGGCCUAGAGCUCUCUGUCACACUGAGCGCUCAUGCUAUCCACAGACAUCAUAUGUAUUUACAGACAAUUUAUGGUCUUCCUUGUGCUUUAUUUAAGAGCAUCGGGUCCUUGUAACAUCAGCUUCGAUUCCCCUUGCAGUGAGGACUUACUGGGAGAAUUAGAGUUGUGCUGUUGGCCUCUCUUCUGAAAUGCAGGACUUAGUCAGCUCCUGGGCUUUGACCACAGCCCUCUGCACAAGGCUGGAGGAAAUCUCUCCCCUCACUAACCUUUAAUCACCUGAUAGAAUCUUGUCUGUCAUCCAGGGAUGAUCACAGCCAUAUUUGUUCUGACCGAACACCAAGUUUAAAGAAAG
rnacentral:lncRNA from 1 species